UACAGAGGGUGCAAGCGUUAAUCGGAAUUACUGGGCGUAAAGCGUGCGUAGUCGGUUAUCUAAGUCGGGUGUGAAAUCCCCGGGCUCAACCUGGGAAUUGCAUUCGAUACUGGAUAGCUAGAGUUCGGCAGAGGGAAGUGGAAUUUCAGGUGUAGCGGUGAAAUGCGCAGAUAUCAGGAGGAACACCGGUGGCGAAGGCGGGUCUCUGGGCCGAUACUGACGCUGAGGAGCGAAAGCAUGGGGAGCGAACAGG
rnacentral:rRNA from 1 species